UGGGGAAUCUUAGACAAUGGGCGAAAGCCUGAUCUAGCCAUGCCGCGUGAGUGACGAAGGCCCUAGGGUCGUAAAGCUCUUUCGCCAGAGAUGAUAAUGACAGUAUCUGGUAAAGAAACCCCGGCUAACUCCGUGCCAGCAGCCGCGGUAAUACGGAGGGGGUUAGCGUUGUUCGGAAUUACUGGGCGUAAAGCGUACGUAGGCGGAUUAGUCAGUCAGAGGUGAAAUCCCAGGGCUCAACCCUGGAACUGCCUUUGAUACUGCUAGUCUUGAGUUCGAGAGAGGUGAGUGGAAUUGCGAGUGUAGAGGUGAAAUUCGUAGAUAUUCGCAGGAACACCAGUGGCGAAGGCGGCUCACUGGCUCGAUACUGACGCUGAGGUACGAAAGUGUGGGGAGCAAACAGGAUUAGAUACCCUGGUAGUCCACACCGUAAACGAUGAAUGCCAGACGUCGGGGGGCUUGCCCUUCGGUGUCACACCUAACGGAUUAAGCAUUCCGCCUGGGGAGUACGGUCGCAAGAUUAAAACGUCAAAGGAAUU
rnacentral:rRNA from 1 species